UACGUAGGUGGCAAGCGUUAUCCGGAUUUAGUGGGCGUAAAGAGAACGCAGGCGGUCUUUUAAGUCUGAUGUGAAAGCCUUCGGCUUAACCGGAGUAGUGCAUUGGAAACUGGGAGACUUGAGUGCAGAAGAGGAGAGUGGAACUCCAUGUGUAGCGGUGAAAUGCGUAGAUAUAUGGAAGAACACCAGUGGCGAAAGCGGCUCUCUGGUCUGUAACUGACGCUGAGGUUCGAAAGCGUGGGUAGCAAACAGG
rnacentral:rRNA from 1 species